GCCAGCAUGGUGAAGUGGUUUGAAUGCUAAGCUGAGAUCCUGGAGAUCAGGGUUCGAUUCCCCACUCAGCCA